rnacentral:rRNA from 1 species
AUUGAACGCUGGCGGCAGGCUUAACACAUGCAAGUCGAGCGAGCGGCGGACGGGUGAGUAAUGUCUGGGAAACUGCCUGAUGGAGGGGGAUAACUACUGGAAACGGUAGCUAAUACCGCCUACCAUCAGCUGUGCCAAGAUGGGAUUAGCUAGUAGGUGGGGGAAUGGCUCACCUAGGCGACGAUCCCUCGCUGGUCUGAGAGGAUGACCGGCCACACGGGAACUAGAACACGCGCCAGAUGCCUAGGGGAGGCAGCAGUGGGGAUGAUUGGAAAAUGGGCGCAAGCCUGAUGCAGCCAUGCCGCGUGUGGGAAGAAGGCCUUCGGGUUGUAAAGCACUUUCAGCGAGGAGGCGUUACUCGCAGAAGAAGCACCGGCUAACUCCGUGCCAGCAGCCGCGGUAAUUC